rnacentral:rRNA from 1 species
AAUCAACGCUGGCGGCGUGCCUCAGACAUGCAAGUCGAACGCGAAAUCCCGAGCAAUCGGGAGAGUAGAGUGGCGCACGGGUGAGUAACACGUAGGUAAUCUACCUUCGGAUGGGGAAUAACAACCGGAAACGGUUGCUAAUACCGCAUAAUGCAGCGGCACCUAAUGGUGACAGUUGUUAAAGCGGGGGAUCGAAAGACCUCGCGUCUGAAGAGGAGCCUGCGGCGGAUUAGCUAGUUGGUAAGGUAAUGGCUUACCAAGGCAACGAUCCGUAACCGGCCUGAGAGGGCGGUCGGUCACACUGACACUGACAUACGGGUCAGACUCCUACGGGAGGCAGCAGUCGGGAAUUUUGGGCAAUGGGCGAAAGCCUGACCCAGCAACGCCGCGUGAAGGA